rnacentral:lncRNA from 1 species
UAAAACUUAAUUGCUUUAUAAGAAAUGUUGCUAUUUCUUUAAAAAUGGGGAAGAAGUUAAGUUACUGGGCUUAAUGAGCAUGUGUCGUAAAUUGCAUUAAAUUUGCUUGCAUUCUGUUCUACAUAAUUUCACUACAUUUUUGAUAACAAUUUUAAUAUGAACUACUUACCUCAUAAUUUAAUGGUUGGAAGUAAAUUAAUGAGGUGUGCUAUAGGAGUAGAGAAACUAAAUCAGAUGUUAUAUUAUCUACUAGAGGGGUAAGUCAAUGGUGCGGAUGUCUGAAUUUAAAGAAGUUAGGGCUGGUGAACAGUAUUCUGUAGCCUGUGCUUGCUUACAUGAUCUGCCUCAAACUUGAUGGUAAACAUUGUAUUUGGUCUUUGUGAUUCACAUUUUAUGCAUAUAUUCAUCUUUAUCCUGCAUUAUAAGAACUGAUAAAACCAAAUAAAAGGUAUAGGAAUGGUUUGUAAGUGUACCACUAUGGGUCAAGAAUUGUCUUAGGCUUUGACAUUACCUCAUUUAUUAAGAACGAGAAAUAGAAUACUUUUACUCCCUAUAGACAGUUAGCACUGAUAAGUGAAUGUGUAUCAAGCAAGUGUUUACAAUCUGCAGCUUACAUUGUCUGUCACUUUUAUAGUUUGAUUUGAAAGGCCUAUGAUUGCAUUCUUUGAUGCAUUGUUAGUUACUUAGUGACUGUGAACCAUAUACCAGGAAGUUGUCUAUCUUAGAUAUGGUGAUAACUAGACAAACAAAAGACUAUCUCCUCUCAGGGGUUCUGUUCUUGUUCCCUUCUCUCCUCGGCCUCCCUGCAGAGCCAGGCAAGCAGGCCCUUUGGUUCCAGCAUUCUUGGCUUCUGGGAUCCUUCUUUCUAGGCCCAGUGCUGCUGGACAGUCCAAGUAUUCACCUCCCCCAGAUUGCUCUGCCCCUAUAGUGCUCGCGGUAGACUGAGCCAGGAGAAGGCCAGUUUCCCUGAGAGUGGGACAUAUAACAGUGCUGUUGAAUAUUAUUUGAAAAUUACUGACUUUAUUCAAUAUAUUCAACUAUUCAAUAUUCAACUAUUAUAAUAGUUGUUUUUUUAGAAUAACAACUAUUAUAAGAUGCAACCUCAAGGGUCAGUUCUUCUGUAAUUGAGAUAGAUUUACUCCAUGGGUAAUGUCUGUAAAUGUGCAUCAAAAGCUUAAGUUUUGGAAAAGGAAUAGAUUUUUAUUUAAAAUCUAUUUUUCCUUAAUCUAACACCUUCUGAAUUUGGUGUGUUUCUCAGAGGUCCUUUUCUUCCCUACAGUUAAAGGCCAAAACUCUUGAAGUCAUAUACUUUUGUGUGUACAGCCUGGGGAGUACUGUAGACAUCUCUGUAUAGUGCCACUGAAACAGUUGCCUCAAACUGCCUUAAUGGCUUUCUUUAAUUUAGUAAUGUGUUUUUGAUGCAAUAAAGUUGACACAGCGUUGGGAUUAAUCAAGUAGCUCAAGUGUUCAGUAAAAACCCUCCCAUAAGCUUUGAUCUGUUUCUUAGGCCUGAGAGUGGGGCCUGGGCUGGCUCAGGCUCCUUAUCACUGAGCUCUUAGCCACAGAGUGAUUUGUAGUUAAUCUUUAACAGAAAUCUUGAAUUCAAGUAAAAUUUCCAGACAAAAACAUCUAUAUAUUAAAUUAUCUUUAUCACCUGUUCACUUUGUUGGAAAUGUGUAGCUUACAUGUUUUUUUAGAACUUUUAUAAAAAUGAGUGACUUUUAUAAUCGUCAUCCCUGGAUGUGCCAAGGGUAUUGAUUCCAGGACAGCAUCCUUGCAGAUACUCAGUUCUUUGAUGUUUAAGUCUCUUACAGGAAAAGGAAUAUGAUUUGCAUAAAACCUACUCACAUAUUUCCAUCAUUUACACUUAUGUCUAGAUUACUGCUAAUGUUGUGUAAACACCAUGCAUUUAGGAAAUAAUAUUGUUUACGGAAUAAUAAGAGGAAAAGUCAGUACUCACUCAGUAUGAACAGUUUUCCUGAUGAUUUUUGGUUAGUGAUAGUUGAAGUCACUGAUGUAAAAGCCACAGAUAUGGGGGGAACAUUUGUGUUUAUUGUGUAAAGUUCUUCCUUUCCCCCCCAGAUUAGCAUGUUUCAGCCUCUCUUUAGAACUGUGAAAGGUUAGGAGGGUGCUGUGCAUGUGCAAAUGGGAAAUGGUGGUUGGCCCUUGUGAAGUGCACUUUAAAGGUAUUGAACAAGAACAGAAAGGUGUGGCUUAGCCCUGUACAGAAGUCCUCACCCUUUGGGGGCUUUUAAUUUUUAAUGGUGGAUCCCUAAAAGUCACACUUUUGGAAAAACCCAUUUGUUGUUCCCUGUCUUGUAUCAUUCUUCAGACUUGACCUUGGACUCCCACCUGUGUUUCAGAGCUGGGUCUCUAAAGACAUCCUUUUUGACAACAGUUUUGUCCAAGAGGAUACCCACAGUGCACCUUGUGGGUAAGAGGGAUCGUAGUUAAAAACUUUCAUUAAGGUCUUGAUCUUUGAUCUUUUGGCAAUUUUCUUCCUGCCCAUGAUAGUUAAUACUUUUUGAGGAUAGAAUUGAAAGGUUCCCAGUUGACUUUUACAGACAAGCCAUGUCAUAGGCCCUCAGUUUCAUAUAGCUGACUGCCAGUAAGUCAUACCCUAUAGGUUCUGCUCAAAGGAUGGAUUCCAGAGGCUCAGAGUCCAAACUCAUCUGUAACCUACCCCUGGGGCAUGAUGGUGGGGGAUUAGAAGACCCUCUGUAGCAGGCCUUUUCUAAGGGAACCUGUUGCUUUCUUUUUAGUAACUUUAUUGGCAUCAUGUCCAUAUAUAACUUUCAUUUUUUUCUUUCCUUUUUUAAAAACAAAACAAGAAAGAACUUAUUGAUUAGCUGUCAUCUUGGUUUGUUUGUUCCUUUUUUUAAAAAGAUGUAUUUAUUUGUUAUAUGUAAGUACACUGUAGCUGUCUUCAGACACACCAGAAGAGGGCAUCUGAUCACAUUAUAGAUGGUUGUGAGCCACUGUGUGGUGGCUGGGACCUGAACUCAGGACCUCCAGAAGAGUAGUCAGUUCUCUUAACUGCUGAGCCAUCUCUCUAGCCCUCAUUUUUUUUUCUUAAUUAUUUGAAACAUACCCAUUGG